rnacentral:rRNA from 1 species
CGCGAAACUGCGAAUGGCUCAUUAAAUCAGUUAUCGUUUAUUUGAUAGUACCUUACUACAAGGAUAACCGUGGUAAUUCUAGAGCUAAUACUUGCUAAAAACCCCGACUUCGGAAGGGGUGUAUUUAUUAGAUUAAAAACCAAUGCCCUUCGGGGCUCUCUGGUGAUUCAUGAUAACUUCUCGAAUCGCAUGGCCUUGCGCCGGCGAUGGUUCAUUCAAAUUUCUGCCCUAUCAACUUUCGACGGCUGGGUCUUGGCCAGCCGUGGUUGCAACGGGUAACGGAGGGUUAGGGCUCGACCCCGGAGAAGGAGCCUGAGAGACGGCUACUACAUCCAAGGAAGGCAGCAGGCGCGCAAAUUACCCAAUCCCGACACGGGGAGGUAGUGACGAUAAAUACUGAUACAGGGCUCUUUUGGGUCUUGUAAUUGGAAUGAGUACAAUUUAAAUCCCUUAACGAGGAACAAUUGGAGGGCAAGUCUGGUGCCAGCAGCCGCGGUAAUUCCAGCUCCAAUAGCGUAUAUUAAAGUUGUUGCGGUUAAAAAGCUCGUAGUUGAACCUUGGGCCUGGCUGGCCGGUCCGCCUCACCGCGUGCACUGGUCCGGCCGGGUCUUUCCCUCUGGGGAACCGCAUGCCCUUCACUGGGUGUGUCGGGGAACCAGGACUUUUACUUUGAAAAAAUUAGAGUGUUCAAAGCAGGCCUAUGCUCGGAUACAUUAGCAUGGAAUAAUAGAAUAGGACGCGCGGUUCUAUUUUGUUGGUUUCUAGGACCGCCGUAAUGAUUAAUAGGGACAGUCGGGGGCAUCAGUAUUCAAUUGUCAGAGGUGAAAUUCUUGGAUUUAUUGAAGACUAACUACUGCGAAAGCAUUUGCCAAGGAUGUUUUCAUUAAUCAGGAACGAAAGUUAGGGGAUCGAAGACGAUCAGAUACCGUCGUAGUCUUAACCAUAAACUAUGCCAACUAGGGAUCGGACGAUGUUAUUUUUUGACUUGUUCGGCACCUUACACGAAAGUAC